rnacentral:lncRNA from 1 species
CAGGAAAGGGAGACAGGCCUGGGCCAAGCAUAGUGAUAGCAAUGCACCUGUGUUUGAAGCUGUUAAAUAUUUGCUACAGUCGUAUUCCUAGACUCAAAAUUAGAUUCUUGUUAAGUCCUACUUGUCAGUGUCUAUGGCUGUGUGAGUUCUGGUUAGUAGAAGGUGGGCAAAAGUGAUGUGUAUUCUUCCAUAACUGGUCCAUAACCACCUACCACUCACAAUACUCCAUGCCUUUUUUUCUCUUCAGGCUCCUUGGAUUAGAGACCAUCCUGAGGACAUCCUUGGGAGCCAUGUGCUGAAGAUGGCCAAGCCACAGGAUGAAAGGAGCUGCAUCUUUGAGUCACCACUGGAGAAAGGUCUCUCUAAAUGGAUUUGCAGAGACGUCUUCUCGAAUACUCCCCUUCUAAGUUCCACUUGUAAUCCACUUCUUCUAUUCUCCCAGCAAUCAAUGUGGUUUGGGGAAAUUCCAGAAUCUCAUAUCACGCAGUACACAUUUGUCUUCCAUGGGCUUCAGUUGUAAGAGAACCCUUUCUACUCUUUGCUGUUCACAAGUCUCCUUUUAAACAGAGCUUGUUCCCAAUGCUGUUUUGUUUUGCCCUCUGCCAUGUUCUUCCGGCCAUCACCUCCUGUGGGGAAAAGAGAGAGAGAUCACAUUGUUACUGUGUCUGUGUAGAAAGAAGUAGACAUAGGAGACUCCAUUUUGUUCUGUACUAAGAAAAAUUCUUCUGCCUUGAGAUGCUGUUAAUCUAACCCUAGCCCCAACCCUGUGCUCCCUGAGACAUAUGCUGUGUCAACUCAGGGUUAAAUGGAUUAAGGGCUGUGCAAGAUGUGCUUUGUUAAAGAAAUGCUUGAAGGCAGCAUGCUCGUUAAGAGUCAUCUCCACUCCCUAAUCUCAAGUACUCAGGGACACAAAAC